CUUAUAUCUGUCAUAACUACGCUCAUUAUUUUUUCACAAAUUUCUUCCAACAACACUUUGCGGUAACGCUUCGUUUAUAAACAUCAGAAUGGGACGUUUUUUUCAAUUCUGCACAAUGUACAAGAAUAUAUGUUUUUCUAGUUCUGAUUUUUUGAAGAUGAAAUAUUUGUAUGCUGUUUUUCUAUAAAUACAGGUGGAUAUAUGAUGAAAAGGAGAGGGAAAUAGAUGUUAACCGAAACCCAGUCUUAAAAAUGAUGUACUAAAGUUUGAAUGUCUUUUGGAAAAGUGAAAGAUUGGUUUCAUUCAGAUAUCGGGUACUCCGAUGGACGGACGAACAGGCGGAGGGAUGAAUAGACG